UGGGGAAUAUUGGACAAUGGGCGCAAGCCUGAUGCAGCCAUGCCGCGUGUAUGAAGAAGGCCUUCGGGUUGUAAAGUACUUUCAGCGGGGAGGAAGGUGUUGUGGUUAAUAACCACAGCAAUUGACGUUACCCGCAGAAGAAGCACCGGCUAACUCCGUGCCAGCAGCCGCGGUAAUAAGGAGGGUGCAAGCGUUAAUCGGCAUUACUGGGCGUAAAGCGCACGCAGGCGGUCUGUCAAGUCGGAUGUGAAAUCCCCGGGCUCAACCUGGGAACUGCAUCCGAAACUGGCAGGCUUGAGUCUUGUAGAGGGGGGUAGAAUUCCAGGUGUAGCGGUGAAAUGCGUAGAGAUCUGGAGGAAUACCGGUGGCGAAGGCGGCCCCCUGGACAAAGACUGACGCUCAGGUGCGAAAGCGUGGGGAGCAAACA
rnacentral:rRNA from 1 species